CCUACGGGAGGCUGCAGUGGGGAAUCUUGCGCAAUGGGCGAAAGCCUGACGCAGCCAUGCCGCGUGAAUGAUGAAGGUCUUAGGAUUGUAAAAUUCUUUCACCGGGGACGAUAAUGACGGUACCCGGAGAAGAAGCCCCGGCUAACUUCGUGCCAGCAGCCGCGGUAAUACGAAGGGGGCUAGCGUUGCUCGGAAUUACUGGGCGUAAAGGGAGCGUAGGCGGACUGUUUAGUCAGAGGUGAAAGCCCAGGGCUCAACCUUGGAAUUGCCUUUGAUACUGGCAGUCUUGAGUACGGAAGAGGUAUGUGGAACUCCGAGUGUAGAGGUGAAAUUCGUAGAUAUUCGGAAGAACACCAGUGGCGAAGGCGACAUACUGGUCCGUUACUGACGCUGAGGCUCGAAAGCGUGGGGAGCAAACAGGAUUAGAUACCCUUGUAGUC
rnacentral:rRNA from 1 species